CCUACGGGGGGCUGCAGUGGGGAAUAUUGGACAAUGGGCGAAAGCCUGAUCCAGCCAUGCCGCGUGUGUGAAGAAGGCCUUCGGGUUGUAAAGCACUUUCAGUGGGGAAGAAAGCCUUGGGGCUAAUACCCUCGAGGAAGGACAUCACCCACAGAAGAAGCACCGGCUAACUCCGUGCCAGCAGCCGCGGUAAUACGGAGGGUGCGAGCGUUAAUCGGAAUUACUGGGCGUAAAGCGCGCGUAGGCGGUCUGAUAAGCCGGUUGUGAAAGCCCCGGGCUCAACCUGGGAACGGCAUCCGGAACUGUCAGGCUAGAGUGCAGGAGAGGAAGGUAGAAUUCCCGGUGUAGCGGUGAAAUGCGUAGAGAUCGGGAGGAAUACCAGUGGCGAAGGCGGCCUUCUGGACUGACACUGACGCUGAGGUGCGAAAGCGUGGGUAGCAAACAGGAUUAGAUACCUAGUAGUC
rnacentral:rRNA from 1 species